rnacentral:rRNA from 1 species
CCUACGGGAGGCAGCAGUGAGGAAUAUUGGUCAAUGGGCGAGAGCCUGAACCAGCCAAGUAGCGUGCAGGAUGACGGCCCUCCGGGUUGUAAACUGCUUUUAGUUGGGAAUAAAAAAAGGGACUUGUCCCUUCUUGUAUGUACCUUCAGAAAAAGGACCGGCUAAUUCCGUGCCAGCAGCCGCGGUAAUACGGAAGGUCCAGGCGUUAUCCGGAUUUAUUGGGUUUAAAGGGAGCGUAGGCUGGGGAUUAAGUGUGUUGUGAAAUGUAGACGCUCAACGUCUGAAUUGCAGCGCAUACUGGUUUCCUUGAGUACGCACAACGUUGGCGGAAUUCGUCGUGUAGCGGUGAAAUGCUUAGAUAUGACGAAGAACUCCGAUUGCGAAGGCAGCUGACGGGAGCGC